CACGUAGUUGGCCGGUGCUUCUUCUAUAGGUACCGUCACUUACGCUUCGUCCCUACCGAAAGAGGUUUACAACCCGAAGGCCGUCAUCCCUCACGCGGCGUCGCUGCAUCAGGCUUGCGCCCAUUGUGCAAUAUUCCCCACUGCUGCCUCCCGUAGGAGUCUGGGCCGCAUCUCAGUCCCAGUGUGGCCGGACACCCUCUCAGGCCGGCUACCCGUCGUCGCCUUGGUAGGCCAUCACCCCACCAACAAGCUGAUAGGCCGCGGGCCCAUCCCACACCGCAAAAGCUUUCCACCACAAACCAUGCGAUUCGUAGUCCUAUCCGGUAUUAGACCCGGUUUCCCAGGCUUAUCCCAAAGUGCAGGGCAGAUCACCCACGUGUUACUCACCCGUUCGCCACUCGAGCACCCCGAAGGGCCUUUCCGUUCGACUUGCAUGUGUUAAGCACGCCGCCAGCGUUCGUCCUGAGCACGGAGUCAACUCU
rnacentral:rRNA from 1 species